rnacentral:rRNA from 1 species
GAGGAAUAUUGGACAAUGGAGGCAACUCUGAUCCAGCCAUGCCGCGUGCAGGAUGACUGCCCUAUGGGUUGUAAACUGCUUUUAUACAGGAAGAAACCACCUCUCGUGAGAGGUCUUGACGGUACUGUAAGAAUAAGGAUCGGCUAACUCCGUGCCAGCAGCCGCGGUAAUACGGAGGAUCCAAGCGUUAUCCGGAAUCAUUGGGUUUAAAGGGUCCGUAGGUUGAUAAUUAAGUCAGAGGUGAAAGUUUGCAGCUCAACUGUAAAAUUGCCUUUGAUACUGGUUAUCUUGAGUUAUUAUGAAGUAGUUAGAAUAUGUAGUGUAGCGGUGAAAUGCAUAGAUAUUACAUAGAAUACCAAUUGCGAAGGCAGAUUACUAAUAAUACACUGACACUGAUGGACGAAAGCGUAGGUAGCG